rnacentral:rRNA from 1 species
AACGUAGGUACCGAGCGUUAUCCGGAUUUACUGGGCGUAAAGCGUGCGCAGGCGGUUUUGUAAGUCUGACGUGAAAUCCCCGGGCUCAACCUGGGAAUUGCGUUGGAGACUGCAAGGCUGGAGUCUGGCAGAGGGGGGUAGAAUUCCACGUGUAGCAGUGAAAUGCGUAGAGAUGUGGAGGAACACCGAUGGCGAAGGCAGCCCCCUGGGUCAAGACUGACGCUCAUGCACGAAAGCGUGGGGAGCAAACAGG